GUCGAACGGGAAGAGAUGAAGAGCUUGCUCUUUAUCAAUCCAGUGGCAAACGGGUGAGUAACACGUAAACAACCUGCCUUCAGGAUGGGGACAACAGACGGAAACGACUGCUAAUACCGAAUACGUUCCACGGGCCGCAUGACCUGUGGAAGAAAGGGUAGCCUCUACCUGUAAGCUAUCGCCUGAAGAGGGGUUUGCGUCUGAUUAGGCAGUUGGUGGGGUAACGGCCCACCAAACCAACGAUCAGUAGCCGGUCUGAGAGGAUGAACGGCCACACUGGAACUGAGACACGGUCCAGACUCCUACGGGAGGCAGCAGUGGGGAAUCUUCCGCAAUGGACGAAAGUCUGACGGAGCAACGCCGCGUGAGUGAAGACGGCCUUCGGGUUGUAAAGCUCUGUGAUCCGGGACGAAAGAGCCUAAGGUAAAUAGCCUAAGGAAGUGACGGUACCGGAAAAGCAAGCCACGGCUAACUACGUGCCAGCAGCCGCGGUAAUACGUAGGUGGCAAGCGUUGUCCGGAAUUAUUGGGCGUAAAGCGCGCGCAGGCGGCUUCCUAAGUCCAUCUUAAAAGUGCGGGGCUUAACCCCGUGAUGGGAUGGAAACUGGGAAGCUGGAGUAUCGGAGAGGAAAGUGGAAUUCCUAGUGUAGCGGUAAAAUGCGUAGAGAUUAGGAAGAACACCGGUGGCGAAGGCGACUUUCUGGACGAAAACUGACGCUGAGGCGCGAAAGCGUGGGGAGCAAACAGGAUUAGAUACCCUGGUAGUCCACGCCGUAAACGAUGGAUACUAGGUGUAGGAGGUAUCGACCCCUUCU
rnacentral:rRNA from 1 species